GACGAACGCUGGCGGCGUGCUUAACACAUGCAAGUCGAACGGAAAGGCCCUGCUUUUGUGGGGUGCUCGAGUGGCGAACGGGUGAGUAACACGUGAGUAACCUGCCCUUGACUUUGGGAUAACUUCAGGAAACUGGGGCUAAUACCGGAUAGGAGCUCCUGCUGCAUGGUGGGGGUUGGAAAGUUUCGGCGGUUGGGGAUGGACUCGCGGCUUAUCAGCUUGUUGGUGGGGCAGUGGCUUACCAAGGUGUGGACGGGUAGCCGGCCUGAGAGGGUGACCGGCCACAUUGGGACUGAGAUGCGGCCCAGACUCCUACGGGAGGCAGCAGUGGGGAAUAUUGCACAAUGGGCGGAAGCCUGAUGCAGCAACGCCGCGUGCGGGAUGACGGCCUUCGGGUUGUAAACCGCUUUCGCCUGUGACGAAGCGUGAGUGACGGUAAUGGGUAAAGAAGCACCGGCUAACUACGUG
rnacentral:rRNA from 1 species